GGGUUGUGAGGUUAAGCGACUAAGCGUACACGGUGGAUGCCCUGGCAGUCAGAGGCGAUGAAGGGCGUGCUAAUCUGCGAUAAGCGCCGGUAAGGUGAUAUGAACCGUUAUAACCGGCGAUACCCGAAUGGGGAAACCCAGUGUGAUUCGUCACACUAUCAUUAACUGAAUCCAUAGGUUAAUGAGGCGAACCGGGGGAACUGAAACAUCUAAGUACCCCGAGGAAAAGAAAUCAACCGAGAUUCCCCCAGUAGCGGCGAGCGAACGGGGAGGAGCCCAGAGCCUGAAUCAGCAUGUGUGUUAGUGGAAGCGUCUGGAAAGGCGCGCGAUACAGGGUGACAGCCCCGUACACAAAAGCGUAUGUGCUGUGAGCUCGAUGAGUAGGGCGGGACACGUGGUAUCCUGUCUGAAUAUGGGGGGACCAUCCUCCAAGGCUAAAUACUCCUGACUGACCGAUAGUGAACCAGUACCGUGAGGGAAAGGCGAAAAGAACCCCGGCGAGGGGAGUGAAAAAGAACCUGAAACCGUGUACGUACAAGCAGUGGGAGCACCCUUUGGGGUGUGACUGCGUACCUUUUGUAUAAUGGGUCAGCGACUUAUAUUCUGUAGCAAGGUUAACCGAAUAGGGGAGCCGGAGGGAAACC
rnacentral:rRNA from 1 species